rnacentral:misc_RNA from 1 species
UAUUCACGCAGGUUUAUUCCCUCCA